rnacentral:rRNA from 1 species
UACCAGCACCCCGAGUGGUCGGGACGAUUAUUGGGCCUAAAGCAUCCGUAGCCGGUUCUACAAGUCUUCCGUUAAUCCACCUGCUUAACAGAUGGGCUGCGGAGGAUACUAUAGAGCUAGGAGGCGGGAGAGGCAAGCGGUACUUAGUGGGUAGGGGUAAAAUCCGUUGAUCCAUUGAAGACCACCAGUGGCGAAGGCGGCUUGCCAGAACGCACUCGACGGUGAGGGAUGAAAGCUGGGGGAGCAAACCGG